CAAUAGCGUAUAUUAAAGUUGUUGCAGUUAAAAAGCUCGUAGUUGAACUUCAGGCCUGGCUGGGCGGUCUGCCUAACGGUAUGUACUGUCUGGCUGGGUCUUACCUCUUGGUGAGCCGGCAUGCCCUUCACUGGGUGUGUCGGGGAACCAGGACUUUUACCUUGAGAAAAUUAGAGUGUUCAAAGCAGGCUUAUGCCCGAAUACAUUAGCAUGGAAUAAUAAAAUAGGACGUGCGGUUCUAUUUUGUUGGUUUCUAGAGUCGCCGUAAUGAUUAAUAGGGAUAGUUGGGGGCAUUAGUAUUCCGUUGCUAGAGGUGAAAUUCUUGGAUUUACGGAAGACUAACUACUGCGAAAGCAUUUGCCAAGGAUGUUUUCAUUAA
rnacentral:rRNA from 1 species